UUGUAAUGAUUUCUACAGCUGGAUACCUUUCCUAGUGCCAACCACUUCACAGUGCACAAGGUGCCUUUAUGUGGCACUGCAGGAUAAUUUUCAUGUGCCACCACACUGUUGCCAUAACAUGGUGGCACUGCACAUCCACUUUUAUGAAGAAUGGUCACAUGUGCUUUUCACUACUAGAGGGAUGAGUCUGAAUGCUUAUGCUGUCGAGUAUGGGUCUUCUUGAGCACAGCAAGGUGUUAGGCCUCGCAGUCAUUAUCAUGUUACCUGAAAGGUUCAGCAUUCUGUGUUCUUUCAUCAACACUUCAUCCUGCGUCAUUUUUGGUGUCCCUCUUCCACUUGUUCUAUCUACUUUGAGAGAUUGGCAUUUUAUGGAACUAUUGGCAUCCAGCUCAGUUUUUACGAACAUCAGAUGCCAGAAGAAGAAUCCUCAAUAUCUACCAUGUUUUAAAGACUAAAGGAAAAUAUUAUACAAAUCAGAUGUAUAACAUUGUUUGUACAAAUCUGUGGAAGAAUUCUUGUGAAACAUUUACUCUGGAAUAAUAUUAUUAGCCAAAUUUGUGAACAUUAUUGACUGGAAUGUCAAGAAGAUAAGACUGUGUCAUGAUUAAAGUUUGAUAAAUUUAUGAAAGUGUUGCUAAACAAAGGUAACACUGGACAGAAAUACAGCAGCAGAAGUGUAUGUAAGGAACAAAGUAUAAAAACAAAAGCAAGAAAAAUAUAUUGACUGGGAUUUGAGAG